CCGACCGGCCAUGUUGCCGGCGGGGGGCCUCUUGGACCGGACCAAAGAUGCCGGCCACGGCACUGCAUCGAUGCUGCCGGCCCGGAGCUCAGGCGCCCCGGAUAGAUCGCGGCCGGAGAUACGCCCGGGGCCGUGGACUCGUGGCGAAGUGACGCUCUGCUGGCGGCCCCAACAUGCAGGAGCAGGGCAGGAACUGCAGCAGGUCAAGCUCCGAGCUAGGGGUCAAUGCGCGCAGCAGCUGAAUGAAUCCUGAUUCCUGAUAGAAAGGAACCGGCAUCUUUUCCUCUAGUGGCGUGGACAGUGGCAUGGCCGUGCUGAUGCCUGAUGCUUGUCGGCCGAAGCUUCUCUGCAUCUCUUUCCUCUCGGAUGGAAGCUUCUCCUUUCCUGGAUACGUAGAAGUGCGUGAAAAGUUUAGAAGAGCGAGCCGGAACCACAAGAGAUAUGGCCCUAUCCUGUGUUCAUUACUUCAUUAUUCAAUCAGCACGUGCUUUGUUCCUAAUCUUCACGAUGAAUCCCUCCGACACAACGAUAAUGCCUGUCAACGUUACAAACUUAUCUCCUAAAAUAAGGCAAACUUUAUGGCUUAUCCUGUGCUUAUAGUAUACGAGCAAGUUAAGUUUAGUUAUGAGCGUUUAUACAACGUUUGCGUGUUUUGGGUUCCAUACCUGAUUCUUCUGUCACAUAAUUUAGAAAUGGACUGCUUAUGUUAGAUCAACUUUGU
rnacentral:lncRNA from 1 species